GGAAAGAGAGAGAAAAAAAAGUCUGAGAGGAGACUCAGUGAUGUCAGCAGUAUGUCUUAAGGAAAUCUACAGCUGAGCCCGGCAAACUUUAUAACUACACAGCACUCGACACCCAGUUACGUGGGAUUUCAACCAGAUUUCAAGGCACAAGCUGCAUGAAAAUCUGAAACAGACUUUGUAGCAGCAAACAGAAUGGCUUCAGUAAAACAUAGCCAUUAUUGUACAGAAGACCAAAGAAAAGCUACACUGAAGCCUUAAUUUUUUCAGAAAGCCUGGGAUUAUUUCUUGAAGUUUCUUUAAAUCUUCUUUUUUGCCAUCUCCCAGGCUCUCUACAGACACCAGGAACUGAACAGCACUGCUGAUGGUUCCUCCAUUGCGUCCAGUUUGAGUACAUCCCUGCAUAAGGUGCCAGGCCACUUAUCUGAACCUAUUCAGAGCAGCCCAUUCAGUCUAUUUCUUGGUUAACUGACCUUGGUUUCAUUUGCAUUACUAUCUCUGACAUUCUGUUAUCUGUUUGAUUUUUGCAAUAUUCCCACCGUCAUAAUCUUUUCAGGUUUAGCUGUUCCCAUGCCUUGAUUUCACCUCCUGCCCUCCUUCCAGUUUCUUCAUUUGUCUUCAAAUGAUUUCACUUUACACUUGCUGUUGUUUCAACAUCAGCCUUUUGGUGCCUGAUUAUCUACUGUUCUUGAUAAUGUUGUUCAGUUCACAAAGUCAUAUGGUUUAUGCACUGUCUAAAUACAUGCUAUUUUAUACUAAAUAUGACUUGUUAAUGCAGUAUUUUUUUAUUUUCAAACAUGACAGAAUGCUUAGCAAAAAUGAAGUUUACAAGGUACACAAAGUAAUCUGCUUGUUCUAUAACUUUCUUUCCAACUUGCAACUAAUUUAUGUACAUGACAAUCACUGUUAAAUACUUCCUCCAUUUUUGUAUGGUAUCUGAAAGUAUCUGUCAGAUAUGCAAUUGCAUCAACAUUUGGACCUUAACACCAGUGGCUUUGUUCACUAAUACAUUUACUAUUUGUAAUACCUGAUUAAAAGCAAACAGAGGGAUGUUGAAUUCA